rnacentral:rRNA from 1 species
AACGCUGGCGGCGUGCUUAACACAUGCAAGUCGAACGGAAAGGCCCUUCGGGGUACUCGAGUGGCGAACGGGUGAGUAACACGUGGGUGAUCUGCCCUGCACUUUGGGAUAAGCCUGGGAAACUGGGUCUAAUACCGAAUAGGACCACGCGCUUCAUGGUGUGUGGUGGAAAGCUUUUGCGGUGUGGGAUGGGCCCGCGGCCUAUCAGCUUGUUGGUGGGGUAAUGGCCUACCAAGGCGACGACGGGUAGCCGGCCUGAGAGGGUGACCGGCCACACUGGGACUGAGAUACGGCCCAGACUCCUACGGGAGGCAGCAGUGGGGAAUAUUGCACAAUGGGCGCAASCUGGAUGCAGCGACGCCGCGUGAGGGAUGACGGCCUUCGGGUUGUAAACCUCUUUCAAUAGGGACGAAGCGCAAGUGACGGUACCUAUAGAAGAAGCACCGGCCAACUACGUGCCAACAGCCGCGGUAAUACGUAGGGUGCGAGCGUCGUCCGGAAUUACUGGGCGUAAAGAGCUCGUAGGUGGUUUGUCGCGUUGUUCGUGAAAACUCACAGCUUAACUGUGGGCGUGCGGGCGAUACGGGCAGACUAGAGUACUGCAGGGGAGACUGGAAUUCCUGGUGUAGCGGUGGAAUGCGCAGAUAUCAGGAGGAACACCGGCGGCGAAGGCGGGUCUCUGGGCAGUCACUSACGCUGAGGAGCGAAAGCGUGGGGAGCGAACAGGAUUAGAUACCCUGGUAGUCCACGCCGUAAACGGUGGGUACUAGGUGUGGGUUCCUUCCUUGGGAUCCGUGCCGUAGCUAACGCAUUAAGUACCCCGCCUGGGGAGUACGGCCGCAAGGCUAAAACUCAAAGGAAUUGACGGGGGCCCGCACAAGCGGCGGAGCAUGUGGAUUAAUUCGAUGCAACGCGAAGAACCUUACCUGGGUUUGACAUGCACAGGACGCCGGCAGAGAUGUCGGUUCCCUUGUGGCCUGUGUGCAGGUGGUGCAUGGCUGUCGUCAGCUCGUGUCGUGAGAUGUUGGGUUAAGUCCCGCAACGAGCGCAACCCUUGUCCUAUGUUGCCAGCGGGUUAUGCCGGGGACUCGUAGGAGACUGCCGGGGUCAACUCGGAGGAAGGUGGGGAUGACGUCAAGUCAUCAUGCCCCUUAUGUCCAGGGCUUCACACAUGCUACAAUGGCCGGUACAAAGGGCUGCGAUGCCGUGAGGUGGAGCGAAUCCUUUCAAAGCCGGUCUCAGUUCGGAUCGGGGUCUGCAACUCGACCCCGUGAAGUCGGAGUCGCUAGUAAUCGCAGAUCAGCAACGCUGCGGUGAAUACGUUCCCGGGCCUUGMACUCACGCCCGUCAAUCACUAGUGCG